GUGGGGAAUAUUCCGCAAUGGACGAAAGUCACGGAGCAACGCCGCGUGAGUGAUGAAGGUUUUCGGACUGUAAAGCUCUGUUGUUUAGGACGAAAGUGCCUGUUGCAAAUAGUUACAGGUAUUGACGGUACUGAACGAGGAAGCCACGGCUAACUACGUGCCAGCAGCCGCGGUAAUACGUAGGUGGCAAGCGUUGUCCGGAAUUAUUGGGCGUAAAGAGCAUGUAGGCGGGAAUCUAAGUCUGUUGUGAAAAUGCGGGGCUCAACCCCGUAGUGCGAUGGAAACUGGGUUUCUUGAGUGCAGGAGAGGAAAGGGGAAUUCCCAGUGUAGCGGUGAAAUGCGUAGAUAUUGGGAGGAACACCAGUGGCGAAGGCGCCUUUCUGGACUGUGUCUGACGCUGAGAUGCGAAAGCCAGGGUAGCGAACGGGAUUAGAUACCCGUGUAGUCC
rnacentral:rRNA from 1 species